GUGAAGGAGCCUGAUCUUGCGGCAGUAGCGCCAGAUGGUGACUAGUAAAAGGGCGUCUGAGACCAGGAUGGAAAUAGAUGGAAAGCUUAUGCACAGAUGAAAGGCUUGAAAUGAAAUACAUUAUGCAUGCGACGAACAGUUGGAAUCUGAGAGCCACUUGGAGGUUUGCAGAUGCCUGGGUUGAUAGAAAACGUGUUCUUCCAGGACAAAGCCUUCAUUAAAAAAGAUUAAAAAGUGAUAUUCCCUCUUAAGCCAACAUUGGCUGCCAUGGGUAGGUCUCUGAAGGCUAGAUCAGGGGUAUUGGUGAUG